AGAAUGUGGUUCAAAAUCGAUCCCGAGCCUAAGUGCUCUCUUAACGAGAAGUACAAUUUUCAACUAAAUGCAGAACUCCUGUAAGAUUGAGCUUCACUCUGGAACCAAAAUUAAGAUGAGUGAAACAACAAAAAGUAUAGUACUAGCAUAGCUGGUAGGCUAUGGCAUAGAGAUGUCCGCUCUAAUUUUACUAAAGGUUGUCCCACUUGUGUUCUAAAGUUUAUUCUUCAAAGUGAGUUUAAUCUAACAAUGGCUUUUGUGGCUCAUGGGUUCUUUCAGAUUGUUGCUAUGGCUUGUAUUAAUCUUGCAUCAAAAAUCGAAGAAGCACCUAGAAGAAUAAGAGAUGUGAUUAAUGUAUUCCACCACCUCCGCCAGUUAAGAGGAAAAAGGACUCCAAGCCCCCUGAUCCUUGAUCAGAACUACAUUAACACCAAAAAUCAAGUUAUCAAAGCAGAGAGGAGGGUGCUAAAGGAGUUGGGAUUUUGUGUUCAUGUCAAGCAUCCU
rnacentral:sRNA from 1 species